rnacentral:rRNA from 1 species
GAUGAACGCUGGCGGCGCGCCUAAUACAUGCAAGUCGAGCGAACGGACGAGAAGCUUGCUUCUCUGAUGUUAGCGGCGGACGGGUGAGUAACACGUGGAUAACCUACCUAUAAGACUGGGAUAACUUCGGGAAACCGGAGCUAAUACCGGAUAAUAUUUUGAACCGCAUGGUUCAAAAGUGAAAGACGGUCUUGCUGUCACUUAUAGAUGGAUCCGCGCUGCAUUAGCUAGUUGGUAAGGUAACGGCUUACCAAGGCAACGAUGCAUAGCCGACCUGAGAGGGUGAUCGGCCACACUGGAACUGAGACGCGGUCCUGACUCCUACGGGAGGCAGCAGUAGGGAAUCUUACGCAAUGGGCGAAAGCCUGACGGAGCAACGCCGCGUGAGUGAUGAAGGUCUUCGGAUCGUAAAACUCUGUUAUUAGGGAAGAACAUAUGUGUAAGUAACUGUGCACAUCUUGACGGUACCUAAUCAGAAAGCCACGGCUAACUACGUG